rnacentral:lncRNA from 1 species
GAUAGCAGCAACAGGGCAAAUCUACUCAGGAAGGAGCAAGAGUGGGGCCGAGAUGGCAACAGGGAGGGUGACCCUUCUUUUGAUACAUUUUUUCCACUGGACUGCUACCAGAGGUGCCAUCCACAAUCAGGCUGGGUUUCCCACCCCAAUGGAGACAGUUGGGACAGUUAUUCAGGUCAGGAUCCCUACUCAGGUGACUCUAAUUCGUAGCAAGCUGACAUUUAAACCAGCCACAGUAGCUGGCAGUCUCUGCACCACCUUCUUGCUACUUAUGAUGAAAAACAGUACGUGUCUUCCAUAUGGUUCUCAAAUGUUAGGCACCUGGUUACUUGCAUCUGAAGUCAGGCACAACCUUUCGGAUAAAAUUAUACAGCUCCACUGAUAGGGUGGUUAUCGUUAAUUGUCAGUUUGACAGAAUCCCAGAAUUACCCAGGGGCUGGGCCUCUGGGCAUGCAUGUGGAUGGUUUAGCCUCAUUGAGGUGGGAAGAUCUGCCCACUGUGAACAUUGCUGGGGUGGAGAUCCUGGAGUGAAUGGAGAACAGAGAGAGAGCCAUGCAUGCAUUCAUUGUUCCCUGUGGCGGAUGGUGGAUGUGACGUGACAAAGUGCACCAAACUCCUCACGGUAAUAAACUGCACCCUUGAACUGAGAGCCAGAA